CCUACGGGGGGCAGCAGUGGGGAAUAUUGGACAAUGGGGGCAACCCUGAUCCAGCCAUGCCGCGUGUGUGAAGAAGGCCCUCGGGUUGUAAAGCACUUUCAGUGAGGAAGAACGCCUGGUGGUUAAUACCCAUCAGGAAAGACAUCACUCUCAGAAGAAGCACCGGCUAACUCCGUGCCAGCAGCCGCGGUAAUACGGAGGGUGCGAGCGUUAAUCGGAAUUACUGGGCGUAAAGCGCGCGUAGGUGGCUUGAUAAGCCGGUUGUGAAAGCCCCGGGCUCAACCUGGGAACGGCAUCCGGAACUGUCAAGCUAGAGUGCAGGAGAGGAAGGUAGAAUUCCCGGUGUAGCGGUGAAAUGCGUAGAGAUCGGGAGGAAUACCAGUGGCGAAGGCGGCCUUCUGGACUGACACUGACACUGAGGUGCGAAAGCGUGGGUAGCAAACAGGAUUAGAUACCCCUGUAGUC
rnacentral:rRNA from 1 species